rnacentral:rRNA from 1 species
GAUGAACGCUGGCGGCGUGCCUAAUACAUGCAAGUCGAGCGAACGGACGAGAAGCUUGCUUCGCUGAUGUUAGCGGCGGGCGGGUGAGUAACACGUGGAUAACCUACCUAUAAGACUGGGAUAACUUCGGGAAACCGUAGCUAAUACCGGAUAAUAUUUUGAACCGCAUGGUUCAAUAGUGAAAGACGGUCUUGCGGUCACUUAUAGAGGGAUCCGCGCUGCAUGAGCUAGUUGGUAAGGUAACGGCUUACCAAGGCAACGAUGCGUGUACGACCUGAGGGAGGGGUAGCCGACCUGAGAGCUGGGACACGCACACGAGGCCUGAGGGAGGGCCCAGACUCGUAUGUGCCGCAGCAGGGGAGAACCUGACACAGCGAGGCGGCGUGAGUGAUGACGGUCUUCGGUGCGUAAAACUCUGUUAUUAGGGAAGAACAUAUGUGUACGGAACCGUGCACAUCGUGACGGUACCUAAUCAGAAAGCCACGGCUAACUACGUG